rnacentral:rRNA from 1 species
GAUGAACGCUGGCGGCGUGCCUAAUACAUGCAAGUCGAGCGAACAGACGAGGAUCUUGCUCCUCUGACGUUAGCGGCGGACGGGUGAGUAACACGUGGAUAACCUACCUAUAAGACUGGGAUAACUUCGGGAAACCUGAUCUAAUACCGGAUAAUAUAUUGAACCGCAUGGUUCAAUAGUGAAAGACGGUUUUGCUGUCACUUAUAGAUGGAUCCGCGCCGCAUUAGCUAGUUGGUAAGGUAACGGCUUACCAAGGCAACGAUGCGUAGCCGACCUGAGAGGGUGAUCGGCCACACUGGAACUGAGACACGGUCCAGACUCCUACGGGAGGCAGCAGUAGGGAAUCUUCCGCAAUGGGCGAAAGCCUGACGGAGCAACGCCGCGUGAGUGAUGAAGGUCUUCGGAUCGUAAAACUCUGUUAUUAGGGAAGAACAAAUGUGUAAGUAACUAUGCACGUCUUGACGGUACCUAAUCAGAAAGCCACGGCUAACUACGUG